GGGCGAGGAACAGGCGCCCGGGCCCCACGCGGGGAGCCAGCCAGCGCUUUGUGCGACGCUGCUGAAUGGAGCUGGUCUGUGUGCGCGCGGGCUUGCACGGAUUAGUCGUGCUUUCCCAUGAACUACAAAAGAACGCCCGAAUCUGGGACAUUUGUCAUCAAGGGGCAGGCUGCUCAGGAUGCAAGCCUUCCUGAAAAGUCAACCGUGAUCACCCUCAUUCCUGAGAAAGAAACUGGGACUCAGAGAUUAAGCGACUUGGUCCAAACAGCCGAGCUAGAAUCUACCUAAAACCAGGUAAGUUCCCAAAGGCCUGCCACCUAGCCUGGUUUUACAAGCUGGAAAAGGAGCAGGACCCAGGGGAGCCCCUCCCAGGUCCCACCUCCAUUCAGUGGCAGGUUGGGUUAGUAGCGCUGUGGUUCUGUGUCCUCAUCUGCAGAAUGGGUAGAACGGCUUUAUCUACCUCAGACUCCUAGAAUUGCCCCGAGAUUAAGUGGUAACAUUACAUUGGAGCAGUUUAGAACAUUCCCUGGCAGAUUGUGGCGUCCAGCGACAAUUUAUCAUUUUUUACUGACUUGACUGCUUUUCUCACCCUCCUCGGAACGUCCUUCCCCUUCUCUCCUCCAGAACAGGCCCUUCUUCUACAUCCUACCCUGCAGCACCCUAUAGAACAUUACAGACCUGCAGUCAUCUCGGGGUACGAAGUUCAAUCCCAGCUCCCCUGUUCCACUCCUACCCCUGGAAUUUUGGCCAAUUCUUGGCAUCCUGAGCAGUAAGUAAAUCUGAAAGAGCAGCUAACUGGAAUCCUUUCCCCGGGGACCUCUUAGCCUGGAUUCGGUGUUGUUUUUUUGUUUUGUUUUGUUUUGUUUUGUUUUCAGUACAGCCACUUUCCCUUUCAAGGAGCCCAAAGCGUUUUCCUGGAAGGGGUCCGCCUGUGGCAGGCGACAGGCCCCCUGGGCCCCAGGAGCCCUCCAGGUCAGGAGAGUGUGGGAGAGCCGCCCGGGGCUGUGGCUGGGGGUGGGGGUGGGGGUGGGGGGACUCGCUGGGAUCUGUGCCCCACCCCCACCCUCCGUAGCCGCCUCGUGCGCACGGGGGAG
rnacentral:lncRNA from 1 species